ACCAAAAACAGCCCUAACAAAUAACCAAAUAAACAAACUUACAGAGUAAACCAAAACAUUUAACCUAAUAAAAGUAUUGGCGAAAGAAAAUUAUCUUAGGAGCUAUAGAGACAGUACCGCAAGGGAAAGAUGAAAGAACUAAUUUAAAGUGUAAAUAAGCAAAGAUUAAACCUUGUACCUUUUGCAUAAUGAACUAACUAGUGUAAACCUAACUAAGAGAACUAAGCUAGAAUACCCGAAACCAAACGAGCUACCUAAGAACAACCUUAGGGGUUAACCCGUCUGUGUAGCAAAACAGUGGGAAGAUUUUUAGGUAGAGGUGAAAUGCCUAACGAGCUUGGUGAUAGCUGGUUGCCCAACAAGGAAUAUAAGUUCCACUUUAAGGUUGCCAAAAGAACACCCAAAUCCAAAUGCAAACUUAAAACAUAACCAAAAGAGGUACAGCUCUUAUGGUAAAGGAAACAACCUUUAAUAGUGAGUCAAAACCCCAAGGACAGACCAUAGUUGGCCUAAAAGCAGCCACCAAUUAAGAAAGCGUUCAAGCUCAACACCACUCCUAAACAAAUUCCCCAAACAACAAUGACCUCCUAUUACCUAAAAUUGGGCUAAUCUAUAAAUCAAUAGAUGAAAUAAUGUUAGUAUGAGUAACAAGAACACCAUUCUCCAGGCAUAAACCUAUAACAACUCGGAUAACCAUUGUUAGUUAACAUGCACAUAAAAACACCCUAUAAACCCCACUCACAAUAACAUGUUAAUCCAACACAGGAAUGCCACCAAGGAAAGAUUAAAAAAGAUAAAAGGAACUCGGCAAACUCGAGCCCCGCCUGUUUACCAAAAACAUCACCUCUAGCAUUGCAAGUAUUAGAGGCACUGCCUGCCCAGUGACUAAAGUUCAACGGCCGCGGUAUCCUGACCGUGCAAAGGUAGCAUAAUCACUUGUUCCUUAAUUAGGGACUAGCAUGAAAGGCUAAACGAGGACUCAACUGUCUCUUAUCUUUAAUCAGUGAAAUUGACCUCCCCGUGAAGAGGCGGGGAUAAAAAAAUAAGACGAGAAGACCCUAUGGAGCUUUAAUUUAUAGCCUAAACACUAAAUCAAUAUAACCUAAUGGGACAACACCUAAGUAGGCCUCAGACUAUAAUUUCGGUUGGGGUGACCUCGGAGAACAAAAAAACCUCCGAAAGUCUUUAACCUAGACUAACAAGUCAAAGUAACUUAACUAUCUAAUUGAUCCAAAAUCUUGAUCAACGGACCAAGUUACCCUAGGGAUAACAGCGCAAUCCUAUUUAAGAGUCCAUAUCGACAAUAGGGUUUACGACCUCGAUGUUGGAUCAGGACAUCCUAAUGGUGCAGAAGCUAUUAAUGGUUCGUUUGUUCAACGAUUAAAGUCCUACGUGAUCUGAGUUCAGACCGGAGUAAUCCAGGUCGGUUUCUAUCUAUUUACAAUUUCUCCCAGUACGAAAGGACAAGAGAAAUAAAGCCCCCUUUCCAUAAGCGCUUUCAACAAACUAAUGAAAAAUCUCAAUUUCACAAUGUAAAACAAUUUAACCAAGACAAGGUCAUU
rnacentral:rRNA from 1 species